rnacentral:rRNA from 1 species
CCUACGGGGGGCAGCAGUAGGGAAUUUUCGGCAAUGGGGGGAACCCUGACCGAGCAACGCCGCGUGAACGAAGAAGUUAUUCGUAAUGUAAAGUUCUUUUAACAGGGAAGAAAGAGAAAUUUGACGGUACCUGAAGAAUAAGCUCCGGCUAACUACGUGCCAGCAGCCGCGGUAAUAAGUAGGGAGCGAGCGUUAUCCGGAAUUAUUGGGCGAAAAGGGUGCGUAGAUGGCAUAGUAAGUCUUUUGGAAAAAUGCUGGGCUCAACCCAGUAGGGCAAAAGAUACUGCAAAGCUAGAGUAUGACAGAGGCAAGUGGAACUAGAUGUGUAGCGGUAAAAUGCGUAAAUAUAUGUAAGAACACCAGUGGCGAAGGCGGCUUGCUGGGUCGAUACUGACAUUGAGGCACGAAAGCGUGGGGAGCAAACAGGAUUAGAUACCCUAGUAGUC